GUCUAUACCCAUGCCACCCUGAACAAGCCUAAACCUGUCUGAUCUAGGAAGCUAAGCAGGGUCAGGCCUGGUUAGUACUUGGUUGGGAGACCACCUAGGAAGACCAGGUGCUGUAGGCG
rnacentral:rRNA from 1 species